UUCGCGGUGUAGUCCCAGAUCCGCUGGUCCUCGGUGAGCGCCUGCAUGCCGAACGCCUCACCGUCGGCGAGGACGCCCAGGUUGACCGGGUCGCCGUAGUUGCCGACGCCGACCUUGUCCACCUUGCCGUGCGCGAUCAGGUAGACCCGGUCGGCGACCGAGCCGAACUCCACGAUCACCUGGCCCGGCUCGAACUCCUGCUGGGUGAACUUGUCCGCCAUGGUCGCCAGCACGUCGGCGUCGUCGAACUCGCUGAGCACCGGCAGCUCGCGCAGUUCGCCGGGGAUGACCCGGAUCUGCGAGCCCACGUUGGUGAAGCUGAGCCGGCCGUCGCCGAUCCGAUAGGUCAUCCGCCGAUUCACCCGAUAGGCGCCUCCCGAGACCUGCACCCAGGGCAGCUUGCGCAGCAGCCACCGGGAGGUGAUCUCCUGCAUCUGCGGAACCGUCUUGGUGGUGGUCGUCAGGUUCCGGGCGGCGGCCGUGCUGAGGCUCUGCCGCCGCUG
rnacentral:antisense_RNA from 1 species